UCUUGGGUUUCUGGUCGAAUCGAUCCUCUUUUUCGCUUUUCUUCGAUCUGACCUUAAGAAUGAUUUCAAGUACGGUCUUUUGGAAGAGCUAAGAGAAUCUCUACCUGGUUGUACUGCAGGAAAUGAUCAAUCUUUUGCUCUUUAAUUGUUAUAAGCAUGGCGAGAAUGAUAUAUAGCUGUUGUUGUUAUAGAACCUUCUGCUUGAUAGUUUGUGUUAGGAUAUUGAGUGAGUGGCAUAUUUUACCCAAAACCUGAAUUGCAAUGUGUCAAAGUGCCUGGAGUUGUUCGUGAACAUAUAUUCUUUUUUGGAUAUAGCUAUUACUGUUGCUUGUAACUACAUCUUGUAGGGGUUCCAGGACAGUUCUGGAUGGUUCAAUAAUUCUAUAUGCUGUUAGUAAUGAUGCAUUAGGUUUUAACUGUCAACUUUGAGCUCUCUUUAGGAUUAACUAAAGAUGCUGUUCAGGAAUGCAGUGCUUCUCCUUGGAUGAGACUGAUUGGACAUCAGUUGAUCCCUUCUGAUACGUAGAGAUCCCUCUGCUUUUGAUAUGGUGAGAUGCAGGAGCUACCUGCAACCUGCUGCAGCAACUGUUUACUUGUUACCUCUGGCUUACAUUUGUGCUAUUUUGGGAAAACCUUUGUUGAGUUGGGCCAUAUUGUAACGAUACAGGAUGUAGGAACACAUUAGAGAGGUUUAUUAUUUGACUCUUUCUCCACCUACAAGCUAUAUGUUCUUUCCUUUCCAGCUUCUUUCUAAGCAAAAUUAUUCAGUGUUGAUGGAUGUACGCAAAACCUUGGUAUCUUGUGUUUUUAUAUUACCUACCUUACACUUCACUUCCAAUUCUCUCUUCUUUUUUUUUUGUAUUAUCUUCCUUACCAAUGAUUUUUAUAUCUGCUACUCGCAAAUUUAGGGUAUCAUAUAUUUACGUUUUAGCAUGUAAGAAUGAGUUUCUUUUGCUGGUUGCUCGUUCUUUUUUGCUUGUUUGCAGUCACUUGAAGAUGGACUUUGUGAACGUUACAGAACCUUUUACAUGGCUGGACUUCUUACUUGUUAUUGGACUGUACAUCUGUGAUUAGUUGAAAACAGAAGAGUAUCUCAUUCUUUGUUUUUGUUUUUAGUUCUUUGAUUUUGCAUGACCUCUCUUUUUGGUGUUUUUACAGACACUUGUUAUUUUGCUUGUUUAUAGUUGAUUUUGAGAGUGGUCUUUUGGAAGAGCUGAGAGAACCUUUUGGUUAGACUGCAGGAAAUGAUCAAUGUUUCUGUAAGUUUGUAUUCGGAUAUUGAGUCAUUGGCAUAUCUUACCCAAUACCCGAGUUUUAAUUUAUUAAAGUGCCUUGAGUUGUUUACGGACAUUUUUUGAAGAAAUGGCAGACAAAAAAUGAUAUGAUUAUGUGGAAUAUUUGCAUCCUCAAUCGCACAAUUAGGUAUCAGGUAAAUGGACUUUAGUUAAUACCUUAGUUUGACCUUUGAUCUUUGUUUGGCUCAUAAACUGUUUUGAUUCUUAAGUUUUAGAUUUUUUUCAAAAGCUUGGAAAUUAUUCUUUGAUUGAUCCAGAGAGCUUGUGGCUGGCAGGCAUUCGAUUGGUCUUGGUUUGUACUAAUUUACGUUUUGAUAGUUGUGUAGUAUAUUUGGUAUUAUUUCACCAUCUUUCCAAUUUUUACUGCUGUGUUUAAUCUUCCUUCAUCAAUAUUUCUAUUUUCCAUCGGCCAUUUGUUCAGGAAAUUUGCGGAUCUUUCUUACUUGAAAUAUAGGUGAGGAUUAGAAUUCCUUUGCAAUUCAUUAUAAAUGGGUUAUUCUAUUUGUACAGAUAUAGUGGAGAGGUGCAUUAAAUCAUUUUUAUCUUUUAGUUCUCAGUUCGUCUUUAACGCGGGGCAGAGCAGUUUGGUAGCUCGCAAGGCUCAUAACCUUGAGGUCAUGGGUUCAAAUCCGGUCUCCGCUGCAUAAUUUUUAUGCUUGGUUUUUUAAUAUUUUUUUUUUACCAUAUAUGAAUGCGUUUCUUUUGCUUGUUGCUCGUUACUUUUUUGUUUGCUUGCAGUCACUUGAAUAUGGACAUAGUGAAAGCUAAAGAACCUUUUUUGUGGCUGGACUUCUUACAUGUUCUUGGAAUGUACAUCCUGUGAUUAGUUGAAAUCAAAAGAGUAUCUAAUUCUCUGUUUUUGUUAUUUGUUCUGUCGGCUUGGAUUUUGCUUGGCCUCUCGUUUUGGUGUUUACGGACACUUGUUAUUUUGGUUGUUUUUAGUUGAUUUUGAGAGCGGUCUUUUGGAAAAGGUAAGAGAAACUUUGCCUGGUUAAACUGCAGGAAAUGAUCAAAUGUUUCUGUAAGUUUGUACUACGAUAUUGAGUCAUUGGCAUAUCUUACCCAAAACCUGAGUUGUAAUGUAUCAAAGUGCCUUGAGUUUAUGGACAUUUUUUUUGAAGAUAUGACGGACAAAAAAGCCGAAGAUCAUUGUGGAAUAUUUGCAUCCUCAAUCGCACAAUUAGGUAUCAGGUAAUAUUUAGUUCAGAGUUAGAAUUCAUUGAUUGCAUGGUUGAUAGAUGGAAUGCCUGCGUGACUUCUGGAUCUCAAUGAAUGCCAGUAAUGCUCGAUAUGUGUCAUAGUGCAGUCUGGACCUUGUGGUAGGCAGCAUUCGAAUCGUCAUGGUUUGUGCUUAUUUAGGUUUUGAAAGUUGUGUAACAGUAUAUUUGGUAUUAUUUCACCUUCUUCCCAAUUUUUACCGCCGUGUUAUUCUUCCUUCAUCUAUAUUUCUCUUUUCCACUAUUUGUUCAGAAAAUUUGAGGAUCUUUCUUGCUUGAAAUAUUAGGUGAGGAUUACUAUUCCCUUACAAUUCAUUAUAAGUGGGUUAAUCUAUUUGUGCUUAUAUUUUGUAUUAUUUCACCAUCAUCCCAAUUUUUGCCGCUGUGUUUAUUCUUCCUUCAUCUAUAUUUCUCUUUUCCACCAUUUGUUCUUAAAAUUCAUGGAUCUUUCUUACACUGAAUAUUAGGUGAGGAUUGCUAUUUGAUAUAGUGGGGGAGCAUAUUAAAUCCUUGUUUGUCUAUUAGUUCUCGGUUCUUGUCUUCAGCGUGGGGCAGAGCAGUUUGGUAGCUCACAAGGCUCCUAACCUUGACGUCAUGGGUUCAAAUCCCGUCUCCGCAGCUUUAUUUUUAUUCUUGGUUUUUUAUUUUUUAUUUAUUUUUAACGUGUGUGAAUAAGUUUGUUAUGCUGGUUUUCCGUUACUUUUUUGCUUGUUUGCAGUCACUUGAAGUUUGGCUUGGUGAAAGUUAAAAGAGUCUUUUGUGUGGCUAGACUUCUUCCUUGUCUUUGGACUGUCCAUCCUGUGAUUAGUUGAAAACAGAAAAUAGUAUCUAAUUCUUUGUUUUUGUUUUUUGUUCUUUUUUUUUUUUUUCGCUUGACCUCUCUCUUUGGUGUUUAUAAACGCUUGUUAUUUUGCUUUAUUUGUAGUUAAUUUUGAGAGCGGUCUAUUGGAAGAGCUUAAGAGAACCUUUACCUGGUUAGACUGCAGGAAAUGAUCGAUGUUUCUGUAAGUUUGUUUUAGCAUAUUAAGUCAUUUGCAUACCUUACUCAAAACCUGAGUUGUAAUGUAUCAAAGUGCUUUGAGUUGUUUAUGGACAUUUUUUUUGAAGACAUGGCAGACAAAAAAUUGAGAUCAUAAUGGUGGAAUAUUUGCAUUCUCAAUCGCACAAUUAUGUAUCAGGUAAAUGGACUUCAGUAAAAGCCUAGUUUGACCUUUGAUAUUGGUUUGGCUCUUAAACUAUUUUGGUCUUAAACUUAAGUUUUAGAUUUAUAUUAUUUUCGAAAGCUUGGAAGUUAUGUGUUGUUCGAUCUAGAGCUUUGAUCGAAUGAUCAACAGAUUGAAUUUGUUUCUGUUGAUAUUUUGGUCAAAGUUAGAAUGUGUUGAUUGCACGGUGGAUAGGAGGGUGAAUUCCUUUUAGACCUCUCUUAGGCUUCGGAUCAAUCGUACUUGUCAAACCUACGUAUUCGGUGCCUGUAUAAUAGUAUUGGCGUCUUUUUAUGUAGAAUCUCAUAGAAGGCCGGGAAAUGUCAUGGUGCAAUUGGUACCUUGUGGUAGGUAGAUUUCGAUUCGUCUUGGAUUGUCCUUGUAUUUGGUAUUAUUCCAUCAUCAUCCCAAUUUUUACCGCUGUGUUUAUUCUUCCUUCAUCUAUAUUUCUCUUUUCCACAAUUUGUUCUGAAAAUACAUUGAUCUUUCUUACACUGAAUAUAAGGUGAGGAUUGCUAUUCCUUUACAAUUCAUUACAAAUGGCUUCUUAUUCUAUUUGUUCAGAUAUAGUGGGGGAGCAUAUUAAAUCCUUGUUUAUCUAUUAGUUCUCAGUUCUUGUCUUCAGCGUGUGGCAGAGCUGUUUGGUAGCUCACAAGGCUCCCAACCUUGACAUCAUGGGUUCAAAUCCUGUAUCCACAGCUUUCUUUUUAUUCUUUACGUGUUUUUUUAACAUGUGUGAAUAAGUUUGUUAUGCUGGUUCUCCGUUGCCUUUUUGCUUGUUUGCUGUCACUUGAAGAUUGGCUUGGUGAAAGUUAAAGAGCCUUUUGCGAGCUAGACUUCUUCUUUGUCUUUGGACUGUACAUCCUGUGAUUAGUUGAAAACAGAAGAUGGUAUCGAAUUCUAUGUUUUUUUUUUUUUGCCUGACCUCUCUCUUUGGUGCUUACAAAUGCUUGUUAUUUUGCUUUAUUUGUAGUUGAUUUUGAGAGCGGUCUAUUGGAAGAGCUAAGAGAAUCUUUACCUGGUUAGACUGCGGGAAAUGAUCGAUGUUUAGACUGCGGGAAAUGAUCGAUGUUUCUGUAAGUUUUUUUUAGGAUAUUGAGUCAUUUGCAUAUCUUACCCAAAACCUGAGUUGUAAUGUAUCAAAGAGAGUUGAGUUGUUUAUGGACAUUUUUUUGAAGACAUGGCAGACAAAAAAUUGAGAUCAUAAUGGUGGAAUAUUUGCAUUCUCAAUCGCACAAUUAUGUAUCAGGUAAAUGGACUUCAGUAAAAACCUUAGUUUGACCUUUGAUCUUGGUGUGGCUCUUAAACUAUUUUGGUCCUAAACUUUUAAGUUUUAGAUUUAUAUUAUUUUUGAAAGCUUGGAAGUUGUGUGUUGUUCGAUCCAGAGAGCUUUGAUGGAAUGAUCAACCCGAUUGAAUUGGUUUCUGUUGAUAUUUAGGUCAAAGUCAGAAUGCGUCGAUUGCAUGGUGGAUAGGGUGAAUUCCUUUUAGACUUCUUGUAGUCUUUGAUCAAUCGUACUUGUCAAACCUACGUAUUCGGUGCCUGUAUAAUAGUAUUUGCGUGUUAAUAUGUAGAAUCUCAAAGAAGGGUUCGGGAAAUGUCAUAGUGCAAUCGGGACCUUGUGGUAGGUAGCAUUCGAUUCGUCUUGGAUUGUGCUUAUAUUUGUUUUUAUUUCAUCAUCAUCCCAACUUUUACCGCUGUGUUUAUUCUUCCUUCAUCUAUAUUUCUCUUUUCCACCAUUUGUUCUGAAAAUGCAUUGAUCUUUCUUACAUUGAAUAUUAGGUGAGGAUUGUUAUUCCUUUACAAUUCAUUACAAAUGGCUUCUUAUUCUAAUUGUUCAGAUAUUGUGGGGGAGCAUAUUAAAUCCUUGUCUGUCUAUUAGUUCUCAGUUCUUGUCUUCAGCGUGUGGCAGAGCAGUUUGGUAGCUCACAAGGCUCCUAACCUUGAUGCCAUGGGUUCAAAUCCCGUCUCCGCAGCUUUCUUUUUAUUCCUUUUAAGUUUGUUAUGCUGGUUGUCCGUUACUUUUUUGCUUGUUUACCUUUUUGCUUGUUUGCUGUCACUUGAAGAUUGGCUUGGUGAAAGUUAAAUAGCCUUUUGCAAGCUAGACUUCUUCCUUGUCUUUGGACUGUACAUCCUGUGAUUAGUUGAAAACAGAAGAUGGUAUUGAAUUCUCUGUUUUUGUUUUUUGUUCUAUUUUUUUUUUAUUUUUCUUUUCGUUCGACUCUCUUUGGUGUUAACAAACACUAGUUGUUUUUUGCUUUAUUUGUAGUUGAUUUUGAUAGCGGUCUAUUGGAAGAGCUAAGAGAACCUUUACCUGGUUUGACUGCUGGAAAUGAUCGAUGUUUCUGUAAGUUUGUUCUAGGAUAUUGAGUCAUUUGCAUAUCUUACCCAAAACUUGAGUUGUAAUGUAUCAAAGUGCCUUGAGUUGUUUAUGGACAUUUUUUGUGAAGACAUGGCAGACAAAAAAUUGAGAUCAUGAUGGUGGAAUAUUUGCAUUCUUUGUCGCACAAUUAUGUAUCAGGUAAAUGGCCUUCAGUAAAAACCUUAGUUGACCUUCGAUCUUGGUUCGGCUCUUAAACUAUUUUGGUCCUAAACUUUAAGUUUUAGAUUUCGAUUAUUUUUGAAAGCUUGGAAGUUAUGUGUUGUUUGAUCCACAGAGCUUUGAUUGAAUGAUCAACCGAUUGAAUUGGUUUCAGAUGAUAUUUAGGUUAAAGUCAGAAUUCGUCGAUUGCAUGGUGGAUAGGGUGAUUUCCUUGUAGACUUCUUGUAGUCUUCAAUCAUUUGAACUUGUUGGACCUACGUAUCUGGUGCCUGUAUAACAGUAGUGGCGUGUUUUUAUGUAGGAUCUCAAUGAAGGCCAGUAGUGUUCAGGAAAUGUCAUAGUGCAGUCGGGACCUUGUGGUAGGCAGAAUUCGAUUCAUCUUGGUUUGUGCUUAUUUACGCUUUGAAAGUUUUUUAAGUGCAUAUUUUGAAUUAUUUCACCAUCUUCCCAAUUUUUACCACUCUGUUUAUUAUUAUUCCUUCGUCUAUAUUUCUCUUUUCCACCAUUUGUUUUGAAAAUUCAUAGAUCUUUUUUACUUGGAAUAUUAAGUGGGGAUUACUAUUCCUGUACAAUUCAUUAUAAAUGGAUUAUUCUAUUUGUGCAGAUAUAGUGGACGAGCUUAUUAAAUCCUUGUUUGUCUAUUAGUUCACAGUUCUCGUCUUCAGCGUGUGGCAGAGCAGUUUAGUAGCUCGCAAGGCUCCUAACCUUGACAUCAUGGGUUCAAAUCCUGUAUCUGCAACAUUUUAAUUUAUUCUUGGUAUUUUUUUUUUUUAGCACAUGUGAUUUAAGUGUCUUUUGUUGGUUGUUCUCUACUUUCUUGCUUGUUUGCAGUCACUUGUGGUGGGCAGCAUUCGAUUCGUCUUGGUUUGUGCUUAUAUUUGGUAUUAUUUCACCAUCAUCCCAAUUUUUAUCGCUGUGUUUAUUCUUCCUUCAUCUAUACUUGUCUUUUCCACCAUUUGUUCUGAAAAUUCAUGGAUCUUUCUUACUUGGAAUAUUAGGAGAGGAUUACUAUUCCUUUACAUUUCAUUAUAAUUGGGUUAUUUUAUUUGUACCGAUAUAGUGGAGGGGCAUAUUAAUUCGUUAUUUGUGUAUUUGUUCUCAGUUCCUGUCUUCAGCAUGGGUUGGUAGAUCGCAAGGCUCCUGACCUUGACGUAAUGGGUUCAAAUUCCGUCUCCGCAGCAUUAUUUUUAUUCUUGGAUAUAUUUUUUUUAACAUGUGAAUAAGUUUGUUUUGCUGGUUGCUCGUUACUUUUUUUGCUUGUUUGCAGUCACUUGAAGAUGGACUCGGUGAAAGUUAAAGAGCCUAGUGCGUGGCUGGACUUUUUUCUUGUUGUUGGACUGUAAUCCUGUAAUUAGUUGAAAACAGGAGAGAGUAUCUAAUUCUCUCUGUUUUCAUUUUUCGUUCUUGAACUUUGGUUGACGUCUCUCUUUGGUGUUUUCCAACACUUGUUAUUUUGCUUGUUUAUAGUUUAUUUUGAGAGCGGUCAUUUGGAAGAGGUUAGGGAACCUUUACCUGGUUAGACUGCAGUAAAUGAUCGAUGUUUCUGUGAGUUUGUACCCAAAACCCGAGUUGUAAUGUAUCUUAGUGCCUUGAGUUGUUUAUGGACAUUUUUUUGAAGCCAUGUAGGCAAAAAAUUGAGAAGAUCAUGGUGGAAUAUUUAAAUCCUCAAUCGCAUGAUUAGGUAUCAGGUAAAUGGACUUUAGUAAAUAUCUUAGUUUGAACUUUGAUCUCGUUUAGUAAAUACCUUAGUUUUACGUUUUGAGAGUUGUGUAACAGUAUAUUUGUUAUUAUUUCACUGAAUACGUAGGUCGAUAGAUUGAAUGCCUGUGAGACUUCCAGUAUGCUUCGAUCAAUCGUACUUGUCAGACCUACGUAUUUGGUGCCUUAAUGAUAGUAUUUGGUUGUUUUAUGUAGGAUCUCAGUGGGACCUUGUUGUUGGCAGCAUUCGAUUCGUCUUGGUUUGUGCUUAUUUAUGUUUUGAAAGUUGUGUAACAGUAUAUUUGUUAUUGUUUUACCAUCUUCCCAAUUUUUACCACUAUUGUUUAUUCUUCCUUCAUCUAUAUUUCUAUUUUCCACCAUUUGUUCUGAAAAUUCAUGGAUCUUUCUUAUUUGGAAUUUUAGGUGAGGAUUACUAUUCCUUUAUAAUUUAUUAUAAGUUGGUUAUUCUAUUUUUACCACUAUUGGUAGUUCGCAUGUCUCCUAACCCUGACGUCAUGGUUUCAAAUCCCGUCUCCGUCGCAUUAUUUUUAUUCUUGGGUUUUUAUUUUUAUUUUUUUUUAACAUGUGUGAAUAAGUUUUUUUUGCUGGUUGCUCGUUACUUUUUUGCUUUUUUGUUUGUUUGCAGUUGCUUGAAGAUGGAUUUGGCGAAAGCUAAAGUGCCUUUUGUGUGGCUGGACUUUUUACUUGUUAUUGGUCUAUACAUCUUGUGAUUAGUAGAAAAUGGAAGAGAGCAUCUGAUUCUCUGUUUUAUUUUUUUGUUCUUGGAUUUUGCUUGACCUCUCUCUGGUUUUUCGCUUGUUUGAUUUUGAGAGCGGUCUUUUUGAAAGGCUAAGAGAACCUUUACGUGGCUAGACUGCAGGAAAUGAUCGAUGUUAUGUGUUAAAGUCGUUGAGUUGUUUAUGGACAUUUUUUUGAAGACAUGGCAGACAAAAUAUUGAGAAGAUCAAGGUGGAAUAUUUGCAUCCUCAAUCGGACAAUUUGGUACAAGUAAAUGGGCUUUACUAAAUAUACCUACCUUAGUUUGACCUUUGAUCUUGUUUUGGCUCCUAAACUGUUAUUGAUUCUAAACUUUUAAGUUUUAUAUUUUUUUUCGGAAAGCUUGUAAUUUUUUAAUCGUUGAUCGAUCCAGAGAGCUUUGAUCGAAUGAUUAACUGAUUGAAUUGGUUUUAGGUAAUAUGUAGUUCAAAGUCAGAAUGCAUCGAUUGCAUGGUGGAUAGGUUGAAUUCCUUUUUGACUUCUUGUUAGAUCUAUGUAUCGGUGCCGGUAUAAUUGUAGUGGCGUGUUCUUAUGUAGGAUCUCAAUGAAGGCCUGUAGUGUUUGGAAACGUCAUAGUGCAGUUGGGACCUUGUGGUAGGCAGCAUUCGAUUCGUCUUGGUUUGUGCUUAUUUAUGUUUUGAAAGUUGUGUAACAGUAUAUUUGGUGAAAUAUCUACCCAAUUUUUACUGCUCUGUUUAUUCGUCCUUAAUUUAUAUUUCUUUUUUCCACCAUUUGUUCUGAAAAUUCAUUGAUCUUUCUUACUUGAAAUAUAAGAUGAGGAUUGCUACUCGUUUACAAUUUAUUUUAAAUGGGUUAUUCUAUUUGUGCAGAUAUAAUGGUGGAGCAUAUUAAAUCCUUGUUUGUCUUAUCUACUCAGUUCUUGUCUUCAGCCUGUGGCAGAGAAGUUUGGUAGCUCGCAAGUUUCCUAACCUUGACGUCAUGGGUUCAAAUCCCUUCUCCGCAGCAUUAUUUUAUUCUUGGGUUUUUUUUUUGCUGGUUGCUCGUUACUUUUUUGCUAAGGUGGACUUGGUGAAAGUUAAAGAGCCUUUUGUGUGGCUGGACUUCUUGUUAAUUCUCUGUUUUUGUGUUUUCUCCUUCUUGGAUUCUGUUUGACCUUUCUCUUUGGUGUUUACAAACUCUUGUUAUUUUGCUUGUUUGUAGUUGAUUUUGCGAACGGACUCUUGGAAAAAAGCUAAGAGAACCUUUACCUGGUUAGACUGCAGGGAAUAUUCUUCGUUGUAAGAAUUAGGAUAUCGAGUCAUUGGCAUAUCUUAUUACCCAAAACCUGAGUUGAUAUAUCAAAGUUCCUUGAGUUUUUUAUUGUCAUUUUUUUGAAGACAUGGCAGACAAAAAAUUGAGAAGAUCAUGGUGGAAUAGUUGUAUCAUCAAUCGCAGAAUUAGGUACAGGUAAAUGGACUUUAGUAAAUACCUUAGUUUGACCUUUGAUCUUGGUUUGGCUCCUAAACUGUUUCGAUUCUAAACUUUAAGUUUUAGAUUUUUUCGAAAGCUUGGAAGUUAUGAGCUGAUCGAUCCAGAGAUUUUAUUCGAUCAAUUGAUUGAAUUGGUUUCAGGUAAAUAUUUAGUUCAAAGUGAGAAUGCAUCGAUUGCAUGGUGGAUAGGUUGAAUUCCUUCUAGACUUUUUAUUGUCUUUGAUCAAUCGAACUUGUUGGACCUAUGCAUUCGGUGCCUGUAUUAUAGUAGUGGCGUGUUUUUAUGUAGGAUCCCAAUGAAGGGUGUUUGGGAAAUGUCAUAGUGCAGUCGGGACCUUGUGGGAGGCAGCAUUUGAUUUGUGUUGGUUCGUGUUUAUUCAUGUUUUGAAAGUUUUUUCAGAGUAUAUUUGAUUUUAUUUCACCAUCUUCCCAAUUUUUAUCGCUGUGUUUAUUCUUCCUUCAUAUAUAUUUCUCCUUUCCACCAUUUGUUCUUAAAAUUCAAGGAUCUUUCUUACUUGGAAUAUUAGGUGAGGAUUACUUUUCCUUUUAGAAUUCAUUAUAAAUGGCUUAGUCUAUUCGUGCAGAUACAGUGGAGGAGCACAGUAAAUUUUGUUUGUCUAUUUUUUCUCAGUUCUUGUCUUCAGCGUGGGGUAGACUUAGUUUGGUAGCUCGCAAGGCUCCUAACUUUGAUGGCAUGGGUUCAAAUCCCGUCUCUGCAGCAUUACUUUUAUUCUUGGUUUUUUUUUUUAGCACGUGUGAAUAAGUUUGUAUUGCUGGUUGCUCGUUACUUUUUUGCUUGUUUGCAGUCACUUGAAGAUGGACUUCGUGAAGUUGAAGAGCCUUUUGCAUGGCUGGCGUUCUUACUUGUUAUUGGACUGUACAUUCAUUGAUUAGUUGAAAACAGAAGAUAGUAUCUAAUUCUUUGUUUAUGUUUUUUGUUCUUGGAUUUUGCUUGACCUCUCUCUUUGUUAUUUUGCUUGUUUAUAGUUGUUGGAUUUUUCUGGAAAUGAUUGAUUUUUCUUUUAGUUUGUAUUAGGAUGUUGAGUCAUUGGCGUAUCUUUACCCAAAACCUGAGUUGUAAUGUGUCAAAGUGCCUUGAGUUGUAUAUGUACAUUUUUUUGAAGCAUGGCAGAGAAAAAAAUUGAGAUCAUAUUUAUUUGCUUCCCCAAUCACACAAUUAUGUAUCAGGUAAAUGGACUUAAGUAAAUUCCUUUGUUUGACCUUUGAUCUUGGUUUGGCUCCUAGACUAUUUUGAUUAUGAACUUUUUAAAUUUUUUUCAAAAGAUUGGAAUUUAUGUGUUGAACAAUCCAGAGAAGCUUUGAUCAAAUGACCAACCCACUCAAUUGGUUUUAGGUAAUAUUUUUCAAAGUCGGAAUGUAUCAAGUGCAUGGUGGAUAGUUUGAAUUCCUUUUAGACUAAAAGUAAUCUUCGAUCAAUUGAACUUGUCGGACCUACGUAUUCGGUGCCUAUAGAAUAGUAUUGGCGUGUUUUUAUGUAGGAUCUCAAUGAAGGCCAGUAGUGUUCGGUAAAUGUCAUAGUGCAGUCUGGAUCUUGUGUUAGGCAGCAUUUCAAUUUGUCUUGGUUUGUUCUAAUUUGCAUUUUGAAAGUUGUGUAACAGAGUAUAUUUGGUAAUUAUUUCACUACCUGUUCUUAAUAUUCAUGUAUCUUUCUUACUUGAAAUAUUAGGUGAGGAUUAGAAUUCCUUUGCAAUUCACUAUAAAUGGGUUAUUCUAUAUGUAUGCACAGAUAUAGUGGAGGGGUGCAUUAAAUCCUUGUUUGUCUAUUAGUUCUCAGUUUUGGGUUCAAAUCCAGUCUCCGCAGCAUUUUUUUUUUAAUCCCAGGAUGUGUGAAUGAGUUUCUUUUGCUGGUUGCUUGUUACUUUUUUACUUUUUUUUGCUUUUUGCAUUUUGCAGUCACUUGAAGAUGUACUUAGCAAAAGUUAAAGAAACUUUUUUGUGGCUGGGCUUUUUACUUGUUAUUGGACUGUACAUCCUGUGAUUAGUUGAAAACAGAAGAGUAUCUAAUUAUCUGUAUUUGUUUUUUGUUCUAUCUUCUUGGAUUUUGCUUGACCUCUAUUUUUGUUGAUUGCAGACGCUUGUUAUUUUUCUUGUUUGUAGUGGAUUUUGAGAAUGGUCUUUUGGAAGAGCUAAGAGAACCUUUACCUGGUUAGACUGCAGAAAAUGAUCAAUCUUAUAUUAAGUUUGUGUUAGGAUAUUAAGUCAUUGGCAUAUCCUAGUUUAUGGGCAUUUUUUUGAAGUGAUGGCAGACAGAGAAACUAAGAAGAUCAUGGUGGAUAUUUGCCGAUUUUUUUUCGAAAGCUUGGAAUUUAUGCUUUGAUCCAUUCAGAGAGCUUUGAUUGAAUGAUCGACCGAUGAAUUGGUUUCAGUGAACGUAUGGGAGGAUAUAUUGCAAUUCACUGAUUGAGCACCCGCAGUUGGAACAUCAAACAGUUAUUUGUCUAUGAUGUCUAUCGUGCGGACCCCAAUACAAGUGUUCUCGUUUAUAUGUGCAUUCUGUUUAUUUGUUUAUGUUAGUUUUUAUGUGUGAUAUAUUUAUUUGUGUUUUUUUUAUAUGGAUUUUGGAGAGUACGGGGAGAUCAUUCUAUCUUGCUUCCGCCUUCUUUUCCAUUGGCUAAUGUGUAAUGCAAUUAGCAGCAACUCUAUGUUGCUGAGAUUGUAUUUAGAAUUAAAAGAAAAGUGUAAAUAAAUACUAGUUUUAUUUGUUGCCCUCUUUUUGUUUGUUUGCCAUGUUGAUAUUUUUGUCCUGCAUGUUGGGUUAUGUUGUAGGGAUCAUACGAAAUUUCUUGACAGUUGAAUAAUGCUAGAUUCCAUCUAGUGAUGCAUCAGUUCGGGCUGUUAACUUUGCUUCUUUUAUGUGUACACACUAAUAAUCUAUUGGGAAAGUAUUGCUGGUAUCGUUUUUGGGUGAAUUGCUUGUUGGAUGAGACGAUUGGUGAUUAUUGUUCCAGAAGAUAGCGUUUCCCAUUUGUAUUAUAGAAGAUGUGUUGAUAAGUAGUUAAGAGUUGACCAAAGAACCAUUGCUAUUUAUAGCAUUAUAUCCCAUCAUCUAGUUAUGUCUCCUAUUUCUCUUUAUCUUUGUCAUUCCGGUGUUAGUGUUGGCUUUCAAUUUGCAUUUGUCUAUGGAUGCCAUCUUUUACCUGAAAUUUGUCUUUUCUUGUUACCUUACCUCUUGAAGUGGUGUAGAGACGACUCCUCUCUCAGUUAAAGUGAAUGACACUCUGUUUUAGGGUUAGAGAGGAGGAGGAGAAUCUGAUGGAUGUCAGGGUUCUAUUUUAUAUAUUUAUACUAGUAUUAAGUAAGCAAAAUUACAGUAAUGCCCUUAACAAACAAAAAUGAAUUCUAACUCUUGUAACACUCCUUGUGUAAAUGAAAUUAUUGGUACUUAGUGUUUGCAGAGUCUUCUGCUAUCCCCUCGUUCCUUUUGGUGGUUGUGUUAAAUUGAAAACUCACCUUUGUCUAAAUGAGGUUAUUGGAACCAUUUUUAAUGACUCUCUCUUCACCAUUGAGUCGAAAGAUGAAAUGAGAAUAUUGUUUCGUUGCCUUCAUGUGAGGCUGCUGAUUGUAGUUGCCUUUCCUUGUUUGCAGGCUGCUAGUUCUCUUAUAUUCUUUUCAUGCAGGGUUUUUGUUGACUCUUUACUCUUUGUCGUUUCAUCCAUUACAAGGAAAUUGACAUAUUAAAGGCAGGUUCAGUUGCAUGCCAGCGGUUAAACUUUAUACCCUCACACUUUCGCAUGGUUUAUAAUAGAUAUUUUUAGAUUGCAUUUUUUCCUUUUACUUGCCAAUAUAGAUGCGAUGAGCGGAUCAUUGGUGAAAUUGAUGGUUCUUAAAAUGUGUGAGAACACUUCUCUAACUAUGAUUCCAUCUUCUCAUCGUAGGAAUGCUGCUUGAUCCUCACUUACUAUGAUUGAGGUUCUUAUAACAUAUGGAUAUGUACACACUUACACUCUUGUGGAAUGUGCGUCAGCAGCCUGUUUAGAGAGUUCUCUGCUUUCUCGUUGCAACAUGUUGAAGCUAUAUUUAGCAGCAUGUGCUUGGGGACUUGAUUGCAGUUAUUUAACCUGUUCCAGUAAAUUCCGCUUCUGUAUCCUGAUGCCUGGAUGGCUUCUUGUUUCUUAGGGACCUCAUGGUAUAUUUCAAGAUCUAAGUGAUUGACUGUAUAUGGUGCUGUUAUGACACACACGUGAGUGUGUCCUGCUGUCAAGAGUGAGGUUAGAUUAUUAUUGUGGAAUUAGAAAUUUGAAUUUGUUGUAUCUAUCUAAUAACAAUUUGUAGGAACGGUAGUGUUGUGGUAUUUUCUUUGUGAAGGGGUCUGCUGCUUGAUUCCCCAUCUCCGUUUUCUCCUCCCUUAGUGUUAUAGAAAACGUCCAUUCCAUUGUUUUUUUGGUAAUACGUCAUUCCUUUUCCUAGAUAGCACUGAGAUUUACUUUUUAUCCUCGAGUGUUAAUAUUAGUUCUUUUGUGGUUUAAUUUCUAUAACCUUAUAUUUUAUUCUGGUUUUGUGUGUUCUGUUGUUCUCUUCUCCGAAAUAACUACUACUUUUUUUCUUUUUUCUCUCAUUUCUGUUUUCAUUACAGUGGAGAGUUAAAUCUUCGAGUUGUUGAGCUUUACAACUUCAAUGUUUUAUGUGGAAGAUACGGAUGACAUGUUGCAAGAAUUGAAUCGUGUUGCAAGUUCUUUUUGUUCAUAUUACUUCUAGAAAUUUGGAGUUGAAGAAAAUGUGUUUUGAGUUAUUUUUUUGACUGACUAUUGAGAAUUUUGGUACGCUUAGUAGGGUGGAAUUUUAAUUUUGAUACUUCAGGUUGAGGGUCAUCAUUACUUUUAGGAGCAUAGUUCGUAGGUUUAACCUAUAGUAUGCUGCUGGUGAUCCUUUCAAUUAAUGUCGGGUCAUUCUUCUCCUAUGUAACUGAAAACUUCAUCCUCUCUGCUUUUGAUUGAUCUCUGCCUGAUACAUUGUAUUCCUAAUACAAACAUCCCUAUGCUAAAACACAUCAGUCUGGGUAGUGAUGUGAAGUUUCAUCAACCGUCUUAUUGAUGGAGAACCGGAACCGGGCCUGGCCCGAGAGCUUGAAGACCACAUGGCCCACACCUACUAUUGGGAGACAUGGGAAAGAAAGAUAGAACUAGGGAUUUUAGUUUAUUUAUUAUUAUUAUGGAAUAUUUUAGCGAUUUAGGGUUUUAUUUAUGAUAAUAGGUUGAUUAGGGUUUUUUAUUUGAUGUUUAUUUAUAUAUUGGUUCAGACAUUGUGAAAGUUAGUUUUUGAUAUUGAUUAUUGAUUAUUGAUUAUUAUUCAGAAAUUAUUGUGGUUUCUUCCUCAAUUCUGAUUUCUCCCUCUGUUAUUCUUCUUUUCUCCAUCAUUUUGAUUUCUUCCCCUAUUAUUCUAAUUCUAUCUCUCUCACAGUCUCUAUCUUAUCCUCUUUCUUAUUUGAAUUCUGUUAUCGAAUCGUUCUUACCCGUUGCUGCAUCAAUUGGUAUCAGAGCAGAAGAUUCAUGUUGUUGACUCUACUGUUCACAAGUCUGUUCAUCCUCAUUUCUCAUCCACCCAAAACGUACAAUCAGAACCUAGUCAACACCCUAGCUGCCACUACUGCUGCCAUCCAUCAAAUCUUGCAAAACUUUAGCCCAGACCAAAAACAAACCAACCCACCUCCACCAAAACAGCAGUAAGCCAUCUAACCCACCAAACAGAACAACAAACCCAAACACAAUUACAGUACCCAAACCCACAACCAAUCUACAGAACUCAAACCAACAGCUUCCUUGCCGUGUCGCAGUUGUCAAAGAGCUUUUUGUUAGUUCUUGUCGUCGUCAACCUUCAUCGCCGCUGCAAAUCCUCAAAUUGGAAUCUGAUACAAACAUCAUUGCCGGAAGCCGUAGUCAGAAUCGCAUCGCGUUGCCCUCGCCAUCGUUAGUUUCAUGACCAUCGUCGGAGUCGAUUCUGCUGUUCGUUGUUGUCAUUGCUGGAAGGUCACUGAUUCAAGCCUAAAGUUUUGGUCUUCUAUCCAUUUGGAAAGAAAGCGCAGGGUAUACAUAUCAGAGGAUCAGAUCAGAUCAGAUUAGUUGUUUGGCCCAGUCUAGUAUUACUUCAGCCCAAGUGCCAACCAGAAUUACACCAGCCCUGUUUGGUUUCGGGUAUAGAGCUAUUCAAGUUUUGAACAAGUUCUGAAAUCAGUUCAAAAUUGAACCAGUUCAACAAUUCCAGUAGUUUUUGAACCAGUUCAAAAAAAAAUAAAAAUAAAAAAACGAAUAAAAUGAGAUUGACUUUUUUAGUAGCAUUCAAUAUUUGGGUUGAUCACAAAGGACUUCAGAAAGUUGUUUUAGUACUUUUAUCCAUUUGAUUAGUUUAGAAAUUGCAAAUGGUCCUAAUUGAACCCUUGAACCAAAUAAAUAUAUAUCUUUUUUAUUGUUUCCACCUUUAAUUUUACACCUAAGUACCGACACCAGUGCAUUACUUCUAGCAUAAUUAAUUUCAUUUGCGUUCAGAUUUCUUAGUUGUGCAUUGUUCGAGUUUAUAAUUUAGUGUACUUGAUUCAAUUUGAGGUCUAUGUUGGCAUUAUCCUCAACCAUUCUUAUGUCCUACCAUUUCACCAUGACUAUCAACAACCUUCUUUAAACUUUAUCCACUGACCUAGUUGAUACAUCUUCUUAACGAUGUCAGAGGAGAAUAUCGUUUUAUGUCCCCAAUGGCUUUGUUCGUUUUAUGUCCCCAAUGGCUUUGUUAUAAGCCAAGCAAGGUUAAGAUUGUUGAGUACAAACCAAGGUUCCCAUUAGAAAUAGAAUUAACUGGUGUGAAAAUGAAAGGAAAACAAAAACAACAUUGAAAAUAAAUUUGGAACAACUACUUUUGAAAAUUGGAAAUAGGCUUUUUCAAAUUCCAUCCUCAAUCAGUGAACUCCUUUGUUUGCUUAACAAAACUAAUCACUUGCUUUGCAAAGUACGCUAGGACUCAUGUGCUUCAAUGCAAGUUGCACUCUCUCUCCAAUAAUGAAGGCUUUCUCUAGAACGCUCAAGAAAUGAUUCUGCUUAAUGGCUAUCGAUAUCCUGUACAUCCGCAUGUAGCUGUGUUCACCAGGUUUGACCACGUACUAUCAGUAAUCUUAGUGAAUCUUUGAGUUUGAUCCUGGCUCAGAAAUAUUUUUAUAUUUUUUUUCAUAUCUUUUAGAGUAACAUUUUAUAUUUUGUUAUUUUGUUAAAUAUUUAUUAUAAUAGUAGAUUAAUAUCUGUAUAUAUAUCUCCUGAAGAGUAUGAUUUAACAUUGGGGUAUUUUUUUAAUUGCUAAAGAAUUUUAAAGGAUUAUAGAUUGUGAUGUUAGAGUUGCAGUAGCUUCAUGCCUUAGUGAGUUACAAUGAUUGUAUCAUCUUUUGAAAGUCAGUAUGAUAGAUCAGUCCAUCUUAUGAUAAAAGGGUCAGAACCCUCAACACAUUUGCAAGUGUAAGUCAUGAUUAAUAAUGUUAGAUUUGGAAUGUGAAGAGUUGAUUGUCCAGAUGCUUCAGUAGUUUUUAACAUAAAUAAGAUAUUAUCAUCCGGACAAUAUCUUUUAACAUGUAAGAGCAAAUUAUGACCCUUGUACAUGCGACUAUAUCUUCGUAGAGCAACUUCGUCCUCUUCAAACUAGUGUUAGGAAAAGGAAAUCAGACUAUUUCACCUCAAUCUUAUUAUAAGUUAGGAGAAAAAGUCUUGAAAAACUACUCCCCUCUUCCAAAGGCUCUACAUUCUUUGGGCCUUUUGUCCAUUGAUUUUAUGGAAGUAAUCGUUUCUAUUUGUCAAGAUGUGUCUGAAUUGCCACAUGAAUGUUGUGCAAAACACAAUUACCUUAGCCCCAGGAUCAUAUUCAAUUGUCACACAAAAUCUCACACAUCCUUGUGAAUAUGUUAAACUGAGUCAACCAAAUGAUUAGUUUGCACAAAAAGAAUUCACUCAAGAUCGUUUUGAAAGAAUUUUAAAAUAUCAUAAGUCAUCUAAUUCCAUUGUGUUGAAUAAAGAUAUCAAGUACCGCAAUAAUUUCUAGAAGACACUUUGUACAUUUUUAGGAACAAAUUUGAAGUUUUUUUUUGCAUCUUGUCCGAUGACAGAUAGGAAAAUUGAGGUUGUGAACCAAGGACUAAGAAAGUUGGUUAGUUUUAAUGUUAGUAUGCACCUAGAUACUUAGAACUUGUUUUUACCCAUCAUGGAGUUUGUUGUACUAGUUUGACUAAUGAAAGUACUGCCAUAUGUUCUUUUGAGGUUAUUUAUAGUGCCAAGCCAGUCAAUUUAUUAUUUUCAUCCACCUCCAUGUAUGCAUUCACUUGAAUUUGUUGAUUCCUUCGUGCAGCUUGUUCAUGGUUUUAAAAAAGAAGUUUUGGGUUUUGGCUUACUCAAACUGAGAGCCAAGAUCUAUAUUUAUAUACAAGAAUCGGGUACAAAGAAAGGAAAUCAAUUCAAAGAAAGACAUAAAAUAUGCCAAAAUCUAUGGGAUCCCAUGAUUAUGAGGAUCUUAUCUACGGGAUCUUAUAAUUACAAGGAUCUUAUCUACGUGAUCCUAUGAUUAUAGGGAUCUUACAUAAAAUAUCUAAUAAAAGGUUAAAAACAGCUAAUAAAAAUAAAAAUAAAAAUGAUAAAGAUAUUUCAACACUCCCCCUUAAGCUGGAGUGAAGAUAUCAUUCAAGCCCAGCUUGGUAAUCGAGGAAUGAAGCAAAGAUGGACCAACAAAUUUGGUGAACACAUCGGCCGACUGAUUAGAGGAACGAACAAAGCACGGCUUGAUAAUUCCCGAACGAACCUUCUCUCUGAUAAAAUGAAUGUCCACCUCUAUAUGUUUAGUCCUCUCGUGAAGAACAGAAUCUGAAGCAAGCAUGAUGGUUGACUUAUUAUCACAAAACAAGUCUGAGGACUGUUUUUCUCCUAGCCCUAGCUCCUCCAAGAAAGAUCAAAGCCAGAGAAUCUCACAAGUACCUAGAGUCAUGGCACGAUACUCAGUCUCUACUGAAGAUCUCGAAACUACAGGUUGUUUCUUACUUUUCCAGGAUAUAAGAUGGUCUUCAUAGAAAGUACAGAAGCCAGAUGUGGAACGUCUGUCAGUCUUGGACCCAGCAUAGUCUGCAUCACUUAAACAAGGUAGCCCAACUUGCUUGCUAGAAGAAUAGAAUAAUCUAAGUCCAGGACAGGACUUAAGAUAUCUAAUAAUAUGAUAUACUGCAUCCAUAUGAGCUGUAUGAGGAGCAUGCAUAAACUUGCUCACAACACUAACUGCAAAAGCCAAAUCAGGACGGGUGUUGGUAAGAUAAAUCAAUCUUCUUACCAAGCGCUGAUACUGCGAGGGAUCAGAAAGGAGAUCUUCGGAUUCAAUCGAGAUCUUUAGAUUAGGAUCCAUAGGAGUAUAAGCAGGUUUACACCAAAGCAUACCCGUGUCUCGAAGAAGAUCCAAGACAUACUUCCUUUGCGAUAAGGAGAUACCCUGCUUAGAUCUAGAAACCUCAGCUCCAAAGAAAUAUCUGAGCUGCCCAAGGUCUUUCACAGCAAAAGCUUUAGCCAAUUGAAGCUUUACUUGAGCAAUCCCAGGGAUGUCAUUGCCAGUAAUGAUGAUAUCAUCAACAUAGACAAGCAAAAUGAUACAUCGACCAUUGGAGGAAUGGCAGAUAAAACAUGUAUGGUCAAAAUGACAUCUAACAAACUUUAUGGAUAGAAUUACAUCACUAAAGCGGCUGAACCAAGCUCUGGGAGAUUGUUUUAAUCCAUACAAAGACUUCCGCAAUCGACAGACCUUUCCGGCAUACUCCCCCUCAACCCAAAAAUUGAGUGGAGGAUCCAUGUAAAUCGUCUCAAGAAGAUCACCGUUAAGGAAAGCAUUCUUCACAUCAAGCUGAUGAAGAGGCCAAUUGUGAGAGGCGGAGACUAAGCAAACGAACUGAGGUCAAUUUAGCUACAAGAGCGAAGGUAUCAUUAAAGUCUUUACCAGGAAUCUGAGUAAAUCCUUUGGCCACCAAGCGGGCUUUAUACCGAUCAAUAGAACCAUCAACCAGAUAUUUAACACUGAAUACCCAUUUGCAACUAACAGUUUUUUCACUAGGAGGGAGAGAUACAAGCUCACAUGUUUCAUUAUGUUGCAAAGCAUCCAUUUCUACCUUCAUAGCAGACAUCCAAUUAGGAUUCCAGAGAGCCUCAGACAACGUUCUAGGAAUGGAAAUGGAAUCAAGUUUGCUUAGAAAGGCUCGGUAAGACCCUGAAAGACAAUCAUAAGAGAUAUAUUGCGAAAUAAGAUAAUCAGUACUACAAGCGAAUCCAAAUCUAGCAGGGGGUUUGCGGUCUUGAGUUGGAUGCUGAGACUCAGGAGCAGGAACAGGGUCUGGGCAAUGUAAAGAAGCGAGAGAUGUACCUGAGUCUGAGGAGGAUGAAGGCAGUUGAGGCGGAGCACGAAGACGGCGUGAAUAGACAUGCAAAGGGGGUGAGGAAACAAUAAGAGAAGGCUCUUCUUGGAAAAUAGGAAGAGGACGAGCAAGAUGAGAAGCCUCUUUGAUCGAGAGUAGAAGCUUCUUGCAAGAUAGUGUUAGAACCAUAAAAAGGGGAAUGCUCAUGAAAGGUGACAUCAAGAGAGUGAUGUGUGUUUGUGUACUGGAUCAUAACACCGGUAACCUUUUGACAUGGAAGAGGACCCUAAAAAGAUAAAUUUAAUGGCCUUGUCGUCUAUUUUAGUAUAAGAAGGGCUACGAUUUUGAACAAAACAUAUACAUCCAAACACCUGAGGCAUGAUGGAAAAAAGAGUAAUAUCAGGCUGAAGCACUUGUAAGGGGGCCUUUCCAUUUAAGACUCUACUAAGGGUACGAUUAAUGAGAAAAGUAGCUGUAAGAAUCGUCAUGUGCCAAAAUAACUUUGACACAUUUAUACCACUUAAAAGACAUCGAACAACUGACAUUAGUUGGCGGUUUUUACGCUCUGCAACACCAUUCUGUUCAGGGGUAUAUGGGCAAGUAAGCUGAUGAAGAAUACCCUGUUGGUUAAGUUGAGACUGAAACUUAUUGGAAACAUAUUCACGACCAUUGUCAGACCUAAUAUUCCUAACAAUAGUUUUAUAUUGAGUUUUGAUCAUUUGGAGGAAUUUAGUGAACAAGGGAAAAACUUCAAAUUUCUUUUUAAGUAAAUAUACCCAUGUGCAGCGGGAAUAAUCAUCAAUGAAUGUGACAUAAUAACGAUUCCCCGAAAAAGUAGUAACAGGAGAAGGACCCCACACAUCAGAAUGUAUGAGAUCAAACAUACUAGGUGCACGAUGCAUAUGAGAAAUAUAACUGGUUCUAGUAUGUUUAGAAAGCUCACAAAUCUCACAUUGAAACUUAUUAUCCUUACAAGCCGUUUUUAAUGAAGGGAAAAGUAAACAUAAAUACUGAAAGUUUACAUGCCCAAGGCGAGCAUGCUAUAAACUUAAAGUCUAAAAAGAAAAAUCAUAAGACCUCGAAAAUGGAAGAACAGAGGGUUGAAGGCUUGGGGCAAGUGGAGGGGUGUCAUUGGAGGAUCCCCAAAGUAGUGGAUGCCAUCGUGCUCAUAUACCCUGCCAAAAAUCCUCUUCGAACACAGGUCCUUUAAAACACAGUAAUGAGGAAAGAAAAUCACUGCACAAUUUAGUGAUUUGGCAAGCUUGCUAACCGAUAGAAGAUUAAAUGCAAAGUCAGAAACAUAAAUAACAAAUGGCAAAAUAAUAUCAGGGGAUAGAUGAACAUUUCCUGUGCUACGAAUAAUGGUGGUUAACCUAUCGGCUAGACUAACAACCUGAUUAACAGGGGUAACGGGAGUAGAAAAUAAUGACAACUCACCAGUCAUGUGAUCAUUGGCUUCGAAAUCCAGAACCCAAGUAGGUUUUCCCGCUUUAACAUGAUAAGCAGCAGGAGUACGUGUAGCUAUAGUAGUCGUGAGAGUAGAAGAGCCAGCCCUGGUAGAUAAGGCUCCGAACUGCUCCUGAAGCUGAUCAAUUUGGGGCUGUAACUGUUUGAAGUUCUGAAAAGAUGAUCUGGGAGGAGUUGAAGCAAGAGGGACAACAAUCUGUAGAGUAGUAUACCCACCAAUAGUAUCGGCUAUUGCGGCAGUGUGGUCACGGCCCGAAGAUAAAAGUGUCAUUUUGGCUACUAGAAUCAUUCAUAGUACCAAACUAAGGCUGGUCCACAAGUCGAAGGAGGAGGAAAGAGAAAAAGUAAGGUCGGAAAAAUCGGGGCUUUCCACCAAAUAUGCUGCUGAACAAACACCGGCAGCCCAAAAAAAAUAAAUAAAUAAAAAUAAAAAAAUAAAACACUAGAAGGACCCUUAGAUCAUUAAAAAAAACCUAAGGGAAUUCUCCUAUAAAAGGAGUCAAAAAUAGAGGGUUACCCGAGGGGUCCGGUGCAAGGGCUGGGAAGAUAUGGAGGUGCGCCGGAGGUGAGGGAAAAUGGAGAGAGGGAGAGAGAAGGUGGCGGCGUUGGGGAGGAAGAUGGGGAGAUGAAGGUUUUUGUUUUUGCUCUGAUACCAUAAAGAAGAAGUUUUGGGUUUUGGCUUACUCAAACUGAAAGCCAAGAUCUAUAUUUAUAUACAUGAAUAGGGAACAAAGAAAGGAAACCAAAUCAAAGAAAGACAUAAAAUAUGCCAAAAUCUACGGGAUCCCAUGAUUAUGGGGAUCUUAUCCACGGGAUCCUAUAAUUAUAGGGAUCUUAUCUACAUGAUCCCAUGAUUAUAGGGAUCUUACAUAAAACAUCUAAUAAAAAUAAAAAUAAAAAUAAUAAAGAUAUUUCAACAGUUUUUAUGCCGCUAUGCGACAAAAAAUUAAUACAAGUAAAAAGAAUUAUAAACUUGCUACAUAUGCUCAUAAUAGGAAUCAUGAAUUUAAUGAAGGAGAUUAUGCUAUAAUUUGUGCGCUACCUCAACCUUAUCAUAAAAACUCCUUCCAGAUGAAACAUAGAAAUGGAGACAUGGGAAAGAAAGAUAGAAUUAGGGAUUUUUGUUUAUUUAUUAUUAUUAUGGGAUAUUCAGCAAUUUACGGUUUUGUUUAUGGUAAUAGGUUGAUUAGGGUUUUUUAUUUGAUGUCUAUUUAUAUGUUGGUUGAGACAUUGUGAAAGUUAGCUUUUGAUAUUGAUUAUUCAGAAAUUAUUGUGGUUUUUUCUUCCUCAAUUCUGAUUUCUCCUUAUUCUUCUCUUCUCCCUCAUUCUUAUUUCUUCCCCUAUUAUUCUUAAUUCUAUUUCUCUCUCAAUCUCUCUCUUAACCUCUUUCUUAUUUACUUGAAUUCUAUUUUCGAAUCGCCCCUACCCGAUCCUGCAUCACUUAUUGUAAUGCUUUAGGCUGCAGGUUAUUUGUUGGUUGCAAUUCAGGCAAAACAAAAUCAUGGCAAAAUCUUAUAUCCUACUUCCGGAAGUAGGAUGUAUAGCACAGAAAUGUGGAGCACGUGCUGCCAUUACUGUUAAUCCAUUUGUGCUUUUGUAGUGCAGUUCAUUACUGUUAUUGUUUCCUAUUUGAUUAUUGGUACAAUUUUCAUUUAUUUAUUUAUUUAUGUUGAUUGUAGGAAUUUCAUGUGACUGUGUUUUAUAUUUGGUAGCAGUUCUAAUUUCUGAUGAACUGUUGAUAAGCUUGAGGACAGAAUUACUGUUUUGUUUAAGCAUAGUUGUUGUUGCAUCAUUUGCCCACUCUAUCUGCAGGAGAUUUCUUUUUUUUUUUGGCGGUGGUUUGCGGUUCUGAUGGCUGGACUCCUAUGUGGAGGAGAUAUUGGCAUUUAAGUUUUACCGUUUUCAGUUUUUCAAGUGAGGUGAAAAGUUUGUACGUGACCUCCGGUAGCCAGACUGAUCUUCUGAUUGGCUUCUAAAAUGUAUUUUGUUCUCUACAGCUAUAUAUUUCUCUGUAAGUAUUGGAAGGUCCUUGAUAUAGGUGGUAUCGUUGCUUUUCUUUUUCUUUCUUGUUUGAUACAUGUUCUCUCUCGUGGAGAAUGUCUGUUUCCCUAGAUUUACUUUCUUGUUUCUUGGUUGGAUAGUGUUAGAGCAAGUGCAAUUGUAGUGUAUACUGUGUAAAUAAAAUUUAUCUUUUUUAAACUUUAAGAAUAUAAAAUUGAUGUUCUGUUU